AAUCAACGCUGGCGGCGUGCCUAACACAUGCAAGUCGCACGAGAAAGGGCAGCAAUGCCUGAGUACAGUGGCGCACGGGUGAGUAACACGUGAAUGAUCUACCUCCGAGUGGGGAAUAACUGAGAGAAAUCUUAGCUAAUACCGCAUAACACUUACGAGUCAAAGCAGCAAUGCGCUUGGAGAGGAGUUCGCGGCAGAUUAGUUAGNGGCGGGGUAAUGGCCCACCAGGACGAUGAUCUGUAUCCGGCCUGAGAGGCGCACGGACACACUGGAACUGAACACGGUCCAGACUCCUACGGAGGCAGCAGUGGGGAAUUUUGCGCAAUGGGGGAAACCCUGACGCAGCAACGCCGCGUGGAGGAUGAAAUCCCUGGGAUGUAAACUCCUUUCGAUCGGGAAGAUAAUGACGGUACCGAGAGAAGAA
rnacentral:rRNA from 1 species